UAAGGUGAUGACCUCACAAUCCCAAAUCAUGACACAUUAAAGGAGGACCAUCAUGAAGAACAGGCAUCUCAUUGAGAAAUAAGGAAUAUCUGAAGGGAUAUAAUUAUGUAUAUAAUUAGUAUUUUCAGAGAUCUGUGUGAAAAUACUAUUCUGCACCCUAUCAGCCUGUCAUUCAAAUAUGAAGCAGAUGCUAAGAAGUUCCAUGAUUUUCUUCACACACCUGUGAACAGAUAAGAAAAUUGAAGCAUAGAAUGGUUAUGUCACCUGUCGAAGCUCA